GUGAACGCUGGCGGUAGGCCUAACACCUGCAAGUCGAACGGCAGCACAGUAAGAGCUUGCUCUUACGGGUGGCGAGUGGCGGACGGGUGAGGAAUACAUCGGAAUCUACUUUUUCGUGGGGGAUAACGUAGGGAAACUUACGCUAAUACCGCAUACGACCUACGGGUGAAAGCAGGGGAUCUUCGGACCUUGCGCGAUUGAAUGAGCCGAUGUCGGAUUAGCUAGUUGGCGGGGUAAAGGCCCACCAAGGCGACGAUCCGUAGCUGGUCUGAGAGGAUGAUCAGCCACACUGGAACUGAGACACGGUCCAGACUCCUACGGGAGGCAGCAGGGGGGAAUAUUGGACAAUGGGCGCAAGCCUGAUCCAGCCAUACCGCGUGGGUGAAGAAGGCCUGCGGGUUGUAAAGCCCUUUUGUUGGGAAAGAAAAGCAGCAGGUUAAUACCCCGCUGUUCUGACGGUACCCAAAGAAUAAGCACCGGCUAACUUCGU
rnacentral:rRNA from 1 species